rnacentral:rRNA from 1 species
AUUGAACGCUGGCGGCAUGCUUUACACAUGCAAGUCGAACGGUAACAGGCCUUCGGGCGCUGACGAGUGGCGAACGGGUGAGUAAUGCAUCGGAACAUACCCAGUCGUGGGGGAUAACGUAGCGAAAGUUACGCUAAUACCGCAUACGUCCUGAGGGAGAAAGCGGGGGAUCGCAAGACCUCGCGCGAUUGGAGUGGCCGAUGUCAGAUUAGCUAGUUGGUGGGGUAAAGGCCCACCAAGGCGACGAUCUGUAGCGGGUCUGAGAGGAUGAUCCGCCACACUGGGACUGAGACACGGCCCAGACUCCUACGGGAGGCAGCAGUGGGGAAUUUUGGACAAUGGGGGAAACCCUGAUCCAGCCAUGCCGCGUGCGGGAAGAAGGCCUCGG